UGUAAGCGGGGAAUAACCCGUUGAAAGACGGACUAAUACCGCAUAAUACUAAAUUACUGCAUGGUAAUUUAUUUAAACAUUUAUGGCUUACAGAUGGGCAUGCGCAUGAUUAGCUAGUUGGAGAGGUAACGGCUCCCCAAGGCAACGAUCAUUAGGGGUUCUGAGAGGAAGGUCCCCCACACUGGUACUGAGACACGGACCAGACUCCUACGGGAGGCAGCAGUGAGGAAUAUUGGUCAAUGGACGAGAGUCUGAACCAGCCAAGUCGCGUGCAGGAAGAAUGUUCCCUAUGGAUUGUAAACUGCUUUUGCAGGGGAAUAAAGUGCAUCACGUGUGAUGUUUUGUAUGUACUCUGCGAAUAAGGAUCGGCUAACUCCGUGCCAGCCGCCGC
rnacentral:rRNA from 1 species